UACGGGGGGGGCAAGCGUUGUUCGGAAUUACUGGGCGUAAAGGGCUCGUAGGCGGCCAACUAAGUCCGACGUGAAAUCCCCAGGCUUAACCUGGGAACUGCGUCGGAUACUGGAUGGCUUGAAUCCGGGAGAGGGAUGCGGAAUUCCAGGUGUAGCGGUGAAAUGCGCAGAUAUCAGGAAGAACACCAAUGGCGAAGGCAGCUCUCUGGGACGGUACUGACGCUGAGACGCGAAAGCGUGGGGAGCGAACAGG
rnacentral:rRNA from 1 species